GAAGAACCAGAAGAAGAAGAAAAAGAGAAAGAGAAAGAGAGAAUCGAUUCUCUCUUCUUGUUAGGAGGUUUUCUCUCUCCUCUCUCUCUCUCUCCUUUCUCUCUCUCUCCUCUCUCUCCUUUUUCUUUGAUUGACAUAAAAG
rnacentral:ribozyme from 13 species